rnacentral:lncRNA from 1 species
GGAGGCCGAGCGGGCCCGGAGGCAGGGCGCCUGUUGGGUAUUUUAAACGCAAACAGAAAAAUCCGCAAGCGCACGGAUACCGAUGUAGCCUUCACCCGGGAGUAUUCCAAAGUAUCGAUUUUCCACAGAGAACGUGAGUGUACUAAUUAAGAUCCAAGAUCGCCCAAGGAUAACUAUAUGAAUAUUUUUGGUGGGAAGAGAGGAAGUUUCCUGAGAGUUCUCUAGUUGAUCUAAGAAUCAAGAAUUACUUCAAGAUUAUCUAUAUCGGGACAUCAGAGCACUAACCACAGAAAGAGAUGAGAAGGGGGCUAGGAAGGUCUGACUACGGUCCUACAAACACCGAUCCGAACGUGGUGGAAUACGUCAACCGUUAGGGCUGUCACUACCCUAAGGCUACCACAACAAUCCGCAGGAUUGGGUGCAAUUCCAGGUAAUUGCAAGACUAAACACCAUGUCUAAUCUAUUAAUUACUACUCUAGCGUUAUAAAGACUAGAGCACUUGAUGCAAGCGGGAAUCCAAUAAAUAACUUGAAUGUAAAUAAAAGUAAUUAAAGAACUCAGGAAUUAUGAAUUGAAGAACCUGGAGAACGAUGAAGAACGAACCAGAUGCUGCAAAAGUAUAAUGUUGAGGAAGAUCCGACAGAUCCGGCUCCUCCUCCGCUCUCCUCUUCUCUCUCUCCCUAUUUUCUAGAUUACAACUAGAACUGACUAGAACUAGAACUAGAGGAACUAGAACUAGAACUAGAUGAACUAGAACUAGAUCUAGAUGAACUAGAAGUAGAACUAGAAGAACUAGAGGGAUCCUCUCUACUUGGAUGAAGAAUUGAAACCCUAACUUUGAUUCUGUAGAAGAGGUAUGAUCUCCAGGGGCCAGGGGGGUCUGGUUUUAUAGUCCCUUCAAGUGAAUCUGGGCCGUCGGAUCAAACCGACAUUGAUCGUGUGGUUUUCCUUGAAGUAUUAGGUCGGUGGAGCAUGAUCCCCGAACUUCACUCUGAUUGGUCCUGGGGGGAGGGCGGGCGCCCAGUAAGGGAGGGCGGGCGCCCAGUGCCCGGCUCCGUUACGUCUCCCGUUCGCUCCCGUGGCUUCUGGACUCUUCUAGAUGGUAGAUAAUUGUGCGGUAUGUUAAUAUCUCUAUGUAAACCCGACGUGUGGGCCUUUCUUCCGUAUUUCCUGAUAACCCCCUGCAGAAAUAGACAAACACCAAAACUUGUGGAAUUCUGUCUAGGUGUUGGUUACAUUUGGAUCCUUUUUCAUGAUUAGUUGAUGAUUAAAU